UGUUACUCUCCCACCUCAAACAAAUCUCUCCUACCCUCAAACACCAUUACAAAUCUCUCAUACCCUCAAACACUUUCAGUCCCUCAAACCAUUACUUCUAACAAUCCACUACAUCAACUUGCUUCAUCAACAGUGAACGGCAGCAAUCCACAGUAGGCCAUCGAAUGCAAGUCUCGUUUUUCUUUUGUUACCAAAUGCAGAUUUUGAAAGCCACUGCAGAUUUUGAAAGAUAGAGAUGAAUGUGUGAAGGAGAAAGAGAAGAAGUGAUCACAUAAAGAUUUUGAAAAGCCACUGCAGAUUUUGAAAGAUAGAGAUGAAUGUGUGAAGGAGGAAGAGAGGAGUGAUCACAUAAAGAUUUUGAAAAGCCACUUGCAGAUUUUGAAAGAUAGAGAUUAAUGUGUGAAAGAGGAAGAGAGGAGUGAUCACAUAAAGGUGAGUGUAAUGGUAAUGGAUGUAAAACUUU